GGUCGUUCAUCUCGAGUUGUAAUUGCGCCGUAGUUGCAAACUCUAUUUCAUCAGUAUUUUCGUGUUCGAUCAAACGAAGAAUAAGAUCCUCUCUGCUUCCAAACGUGGAAAGACCUCGUUCCCGCAGAAGACGCUUCAAGUGCUUCACUCGUAAUUCUUAAGUUUUCGUAAUUUUCCUUUUUUUGUUACUGCGCAGUUCCACUGGAGUCACGAAAGAACAAUAAACGAAUUUCACAUAUGGUGCAUAACAAAUGGCUUUCAUCGUAAGUUAUGCCACUUCUGAAAAUUUUUAUUCGUAAGGAACACACGUAUUGCUUGAUUCGUUAUAUACGUUGGCCUGCAAGGACUUUGAACAGAUCGUGGCGCGUCGUUUCCUUUCGAGAUCUUGGAUAUGCUCAGGGCGGUUAGUGAGGAGUCUUAAAACUCCCCACAAAUCCGGGUGCACGGGAGCGUCCUAGCAUCAGCGAAGAGGGCUGGAAUGCAAGAAGAGUCAAGGGCCGUGUCCGAGUCCGAGCGGGCCGUGCGCAAAAGGGGAAAUAACGUGAUCCCCGCGGCCUAUAAAGAAAAUACGCAAGCGCAUGCCCCCAUAACAUUCUAAGCCCAUUCCAAGCAUGUGGUAUGUUGUCAAGGACGACGCGGGAUAACGAAGGAAAGACGACGAAGGAGUAACGCCGCGCGGCAGACGGCGAGGGCUGUAGGAGUCCAUUGUCGAAGUAGUCUGACAAUAAAGCUAUUCUUGUCUGAAACUCUGUCUUCUCCUUGUUUGAGCAAUCACACAAAUCAUAAAUUUCGUGGGACAAACACACAAACUCACCGAGCUAGCCGCUGCAACUCCAGAACCAGGAAAACAUAGCAAAUAGUAUCGCAUAACGGAAAAUCAUGCCCGAGGAACACAAGAGCAGGACAGGAAAAUUAAAGCAAAGUCCUUCGUGACUGCAUUUUCCUCUAAAUGAGCCAACUGGCUUCAAAAAUCACUUCAAAUUAUAAAACUUGGUCCAAGGCAAAAUCGUCACAAAAUCACCAGUUCCCGGUUAUACUGAGGAAAGUAUUAUCCACAACGAUAUAUUUUUUUAACCAAUUUUGCAGCUAAUAAAUCUUUUCCCUAACAUGAAAACUCUUUACUUUGACAAUGAAGGCUGAAUGAACUCGGAAGCCAUACGAGUCAUCCUAAAAAAUAGGUUCAGUGUACAGGUCUCGAUUUCGCCUUCUUUGCACGGCACAUCUAAUGGCCAAGUUCAGAGAUUUUAUACCACCAUAGCAGUGUUGGCUCAAUAAAUAAUCCUUUAAGAUGAAA